rnacentral:rRNA from 1 species
UACGUAGGGAGCAAGCGUUGUCCGGAAUUAUUGGGCGUAAAGAGCUCGUAGGCGGCCUGUCGCGUCGGUUGUGAAAGCCCGGGGCUCAACCCCGGGUCUGCAGUCGAUACGGGCAGGCUAGAGUUCGGUAGGGGAGACUGGAAUUCCUGGUGUAGCGGUGAAAUGUGCAGAUAUCAGGAGGAACACCGGUGGCGAAGGCGGGUCUCUGGGCCGAUACUGACGCUGAGGAGCGAAAGCGUGGGGAGCGAACAGG